rnacentral:rRNA from 1 species
UACGUAGGGUGCGAGCGUUAAUCGGAAUUACUGGGCGUAAAGCGUGCGCAGGCGGUUCGCCAAGUCAGGUGUGAAAUCCCCGGGCUUAACCUGGGAAUUGCGCUUCAAACUAGCGGGCUUGAGUGUGGCAGAGGGGGGUGGAAUUCCACGUGUAGCAGUGAAAUGCGUAGAGAUGUGGAGGAACACCGAUGGCGAAGGCAGCUUACUACACAGUUAUUGACGCUGAGGCACGAAAGCGUGGGGAUCAAACAGG